GACACACUAGGACCUUCCUUCUUAGUUUCAAUCACACUAGCUAGAUAAGCUGUACAACCUUUUCUAAUCAACCUCCUAGCUGUAGUGGCAGAUAUGACAUUAGAGAGGUAAUCUGACCUCUCACCCACAACUAUAACCUCAGAACCCUCUAAUGUUUUGAGUGUAACUCGUUUUAACUUACAAUCAACUAUGACAUGAUGUCUAGACAACCAAUCCAUACCCAGAAUCACAUCGAACUCUCUAAAAGGUAACUCUAUCAAGUCACCUAAAAAUGUAUGACCUUGCACACAUAUAGGACAAUCUCUGUAAACUCUAUUCACAAUCACAAGAUGUCCUAAGGGAUUGGUCACUGCUAUAUCAUGUUCUAAAGGGUCUACUUCAAUUCCCUUCUCAUUAUUGAUGGGUAUGCUGAUGUAUGAAUGUGUGGAACCAGGAUCAAUUAAUGCAUAAACAUAUUUGCC
rnacentral:lncRNA from 1 species